rnacentral:lncRNA from 1 species
GUGGGAAGAGGCUGUUACGCAUAGAGACACCAGCCCGGAGGUCCUCGGAGGCUGUGUGUGACAGGAGCAGCCCUCGGGAACAGCUGAAGAAAUCGCCCAUUUAGACGACAGGUAACUGGUUGAGAUAGAAAGUUUCCAAAUGGCACCGAAUCCAGAGUGAACUUAGUGGGUUGGGGAGCAGGAAUUUUCCAGAAAACCUUGUUUUGAAAUACAACGUCGCAUACAGAGAAGGACACAAAUCGCAAGCGUCCAGCUUGGUAAAUUCCCACCAAGCGAGCCUGCCUGCGUGGCAGAGCUCGGCCAGGACCCCCAGGCCCUUCCUGCCCAACCCAGGGCGCCACAUCCCGACUCCGAGGACCGCAGUCUGCAUCACCAAGACCUGUGCCAGUGCCUGUGAUGUCAGUAACCUGGAACGGGAGCCGCCUCGAGGGGCUGAAGGGGCAGGGCUCAUUGUGGAUGUUCUCAGCAUGCCAGGGGCCAAAGGUCUCUGUCCAAGAGGCUCAGAGCCUCUGACUUACUCCGCAGCAGGAGACGAGGCGCCCAGGCUGGGCUGGGGAGAGGAGCCCGUCGCCCCCUCUGCGGCCGUGGAGCCCACAGGCGUGACGUGGGCACAGAGAGAAUGAUGAGCCCACGCUCCAUCAUGUCUGUCAGCCCCGUGGACUCCUGUCUGGGGCUCUUCCUGGAGGUCCCCUGCUCUCCCUCUGCACGUGGCACUGCCUUGCAGCUGUGGGUGACUGUGUUCUAGGGACCUCUGGGCCACAAACCACACACAGUGCCCCCUCGAGAGCAAGCUAUUCAAUAAAGCCACGUGUGAUCCGGCUCAGUCACACAGAUAGACACGCU